rnacentral:rRNA from 1 species
CCUAUGGGGUGCACGCAGGCGAGAAAACUUUGCAAUGUGCGAAAGCACGACAAGGUUAAUCCGAGUGGUUUCUGCUAAAGGAACCUUUUGUNAGUCUCUAGAACCACAUAGANGAAUAAGGGGUGGGCAAGAUGCUG